rnacentral:rRNA from 1 species
CAGUAGCCGCGGUAAUACGAAGGGGGCUAGCGUUGUUCGGAUUUACUGGGCGUAAAGGGUGCGUAGGCGGACUGAUAAGUCAGGGGUGAAAUCCCAAGGCUCAACCUUGGAACUGCCUUUGAUACUGUUAGUCUUGAGUUCGAGAGAGGUGAGUGGAACUGCGAGUGUAGAGGUGAAAUUCGUAGAUAUUCGCAAGAACACCAGUGGCGAAGGCGGCUCACUGGCUCGAAACUGACGCUGAGGCACGAAAGCGUGGGGAGCAAACAGGAUUAGAUACCCCGGUAGUCCCUGUCUCUUAUAC